rnacentral:rRNA from 1 species
AUUGAACGCUGGCGGCAGGCCUAACACAUGCAAGUCGAGCGGAGCGGCGGACGGGUGAGUAAUGCAUAGGAAUCUGCCUGGUAGUGGGGGAUACAGUCCGGAAACGGGCGCUAAUCCCGCAAACUAUCAGAUCAGCCUAGGUCGGUUUAGCUAUUGGGUGGGGUAAAGGCCUACCAAGGCGACGAUCCGUAACUGGUCUGAGAGGAUGAUCAGUCACACUGGAACUGAUACACGGUCCAGACUCCUACGGGAGGCAGCAGUGGGGAAUAUUUGACAAUGGGCGAAAGCCUGAUCCAGCAAUGCCGCGUGUGUGAAGAAGGUUUUCGGAUUGUAAAGCCCUUUAAGUUGGGAGGCGUUACCAACAGAAUAAGCACCGGCUAACUUCGUGCCAGCAGCCGCGGUAAUAC